GCAGACAGGCAGGCAGGCAGCCUGCCGGGAGUCCUGUUGAAGCAUGCACAGCGCACACCUCUACCCGCACCCACCACCAGGACCCCUCGCCAUCACCUCCUUGAACCGGGAGGAUCCAGAGCCCGGACCGGGGUUCCCAGGGGGACUCUGCUCACCUUGCCUCAACUCAUACCUGGAAGAAGAAAAUAAAAGAACACUGUGUGAAAGGCAAGAUAAAUCGGUGGGCGAAGUUAACCCGAUCACACCAGCAUCGCCUAUUUGAGACUCGCUAUGCUCUCAACAGCCCCGAGGAAUUAUCUCAUGAUUGCAUUAGAGUGGAAAGACACGAAGCUGAGAGGCAAGCAGAACAGAAACUGUGAUAGAAAUUGUCCUAAGCUGAAGCACCUUGCGUGAACCUUGUGGAUGUCUGGUGCCUCUCCACUGCAUCUUGGUGCAGGCAGCACUGGCAUUCUCUGUCCAAAGCAGCUGCCCCUACCCUACACCUGGGUUUUUUGAGCAGCAAUGAGCAGCCAAAAACAAAACGAGCAAACAAAUGAGGCCGGGAGAGAGAGCAUUUGAGCCUACAGUUGGUUCGUGAGAGCAGAGGGGGAGGGGAGCUGGAUGAAUGGCCUCCUCAUGCUCUACCCCACCCCCCACGCCUGUCUGCAGGAAGUUCUGUGUGCCUUCUGCUGAAGAGUUGGUAGCCUGCCUUCAUUGUCAUUAUCGGUGUUCCUGGGGUGAUAAUGCCAGAUGUUUGCUUCCUUAUCCACGUGGCUUCCCUUCGGCUAAUUAAAAGCUGAGGGUGAUUGAGUGCCUGUCAGCCAGCUCUUCACCUUCUGAUCCAAGGAUGGCACUUGUUUCCACGCCAAGUGGUUGAGAAGCGGAAGUGAGAAACCCUGUGGCGGAGUGGUUUUACCUGGAAAUUACAAGUUUAAAUCCAUGACUGUCCAAUUAUGACAAAGAGCCAAAUGGACGAGUACCAAGCCAACCCAGACGGCGCUUAGCACUGAGAGCCUUUCUGGCUCUGUUAAGCAUUCACACACUGGGUACUUCACCUUCUGGUAAAAUUACAUCACUCUCCCUGUCAAACCUGCCUCUCUUCCAGACCCGGAACUCUGGGACAGAAUGCGUUUUGGAAGAGAGUAGUUGACUCUUCCUGUUGGUGCUUUAGUGACCCAGGCUUUUGGAUUGAAACAAAUAGGAUGCAGUGCUUGAUUAUUUGGCUUUCCCAAGGCUUCUUCAUGGUGAUCUCCCCAUCUCUUAUAAUCCUCUGGUGUGUCGCACUCUCGGUGCUUGGUAUGAUAAGCAUUGACCCUAUCCGGCAGGUGAAAACUAGGCUUACGUUAAUAAGUCAGAGUCAGGCGAUUCGCUCAAGGCAGCUGGGUUACGUGCUCCCCCUUCCCACUUGAGGAAUUCCCUCCGAGGAGCCUUCAGGCAUUUCCUAGUAGAGCUGUCUCCUCUAUUGUGCUGUUGUUCUGGUUUCUGGAAUUCUCUUCUUCUCCCACCCCAUGCUGUCCAGACCUCACAAGUAGGUAUUUAAAGCAUCCCAGUGGCAGUGGAGAGUGACACUCUCCAAAAGGUCAUGGUGAUUAUUCUAAAGCCAAACAAAGCAGAAGCCGCGCCUUAGUUUGUGGGAUGCGAUAUAAUAACUGCGGCCGCAUACAUGUCGGAACCUAGAUCUGGAAAAGCAGUUGGCAGAUGCAGUCCAGGCAGCUUUUGCCUGUUUCCUAAGUGGUGGCAGUGGGGCAAAGGAGGAGGAAGCAGAGAUAGUGUGAAGAAGCCAACUAGUGGAGCCAGCAGCCCUCCGCUAAAGUAGAAUAACUAACUGUCAGCCUAUGGUCUGUAUUCACAUCCCAAGCUAAGAAGAGACAGUGGGGAGAGAGGUUUGCCCUGACUACACCCUCGGGUCAGGCACAUCUUCAGGUGCAGCCAGAUGGCUCUUAUUUGGUGCAAGGCUGAGAUCAUAAAGCUUUUAAGGUGUGAGCAUGCAUAUGGUGUGAGCAUGCGUAUGGUGUGAGCAUGCAUAUGGUGUGAGCAUGCAUAAGGUGUGGGCAUGCAUAAGGUGUGAGCAUGCAUAUGCAAAGCACAGGCAGAGGCAGGAAGAGGGAUUAAGCUUUUGGGGGUCUGGGGGAGGGGUUGGUUUUUCUGAGACAGGGUUUCUCUGUAUAGUCCUGGCUGUCCUGGUACUUACUCUUUAGACCAGGCUGGCCUUGAACUCACAGAGAUCCGUGUGAGUGCUGGGAUUGAAGGUGUGCACCACAGCUGCCCAGCAAAAAGAAUAUUUCAUGCAUAUGACUAUUUUGACCUGCUUUGGCCAAUAGAAAUGCAGAAGUAAAAGUGUGUUCCUUAGUCCAGAUCUUGGGAGACGUCAUACACAUGUGCUUGCUCUCUUGGAAUAGACAUUCCAUGAAUGGCUUACAGAGGCUCAGUGAUGCCCUUCAACCAGCUGAUGGGAUUGUACUAGCCAUCUGUCCAGACACUUGAAUUGGCCCAGCACAGAUCAGACAGACCUAUUCCCCAUCCCCCACCCCCACAGACCCAUGACCAACAACGAGGGCUUUUUGUUUUAAACUAGAAUUUAGAUUGAUUUGUUAUGUAACUCACAGCUAAUGGAUACAUUUGGUCUACCUGCUCCUGGUUCCUGC
rnacentral:lncRNA from 1 species